AUAGAACGCUGGAGGAAGGCCUAACACCUGCAAGUCGGGCGGAGCGGCGGACGGGUGAGUAAUGUAUGGGGAUCUGCCUGAUGGAGGGGGAUAACUACUGGAAACGGUAGCUAAUACCGCAUACAAUCAGAUGAAACCCUAUGGGAUUAGAUUGUAGGUGAGGUAAAGGCCUACCAAGGCGACGAUCCGUAACUGGUCUGAGAGGAUGAUCAGUCACACUGGAACUGAGACACGGUCCAGACUCCUACGGGAGGCAGCAGUGGGGAAUAUUGGACAAUGGGCGAAAGCCUGAUCCAGCCAUGCCGCGUGUGUGAAGAAGGUCUUCGGAUUGUAAAGCACUUUAAGUUGGGAGGCGUUACCAACAGAAUAAGCACCGGCUAACUUCGUGCCAGCAGCCGCGGUAAUUC
rnacentral:rRNA from 1 species